rnacentral:rRNA from 1 species
CAGUAGCCGCGGUAAUACGAAGGGGGCUAGCAUUGCUCGGAAUCACUGGGCGUAAAGGGUGCGUAGGCGGCCCCGCAAGUCUCAUGUGAAAUCUUCAGGCUCAACUUGAAGUCUGCAUGGGAAACUGCGGGGCUGGAGUUCGGAAGAGGUUGGUGGAACAGCUAGUGUAGAGGUGAAAUUCGUAGAUAUUAGCUAGAACACCAGUGGCGAAGGCGGCCAACUGGUCCGAUACUGACGCUGAGGUGCGAAAGCGUGGGGAGCAAACAGGAUUAGAUACCCCCGUAGUCCCUGUCUCUUAUAC